rnacentral:rRNA from 1 species
AAUCAACGCUGGCGGCGUGCCUAACACAUGCAAGUCGAACGCGAAAGCCCCGCAAGGGGUAAGUAGAGUGGCCAACGGGUGAGUAACACGUGGGUGACCUGCCUUCGAGUGGGGGAUAACGUCCCGAAAGGGACGCUAAUACCGCAUGACAUCCUGCUUUUGAAAAAGCGGAGCUCAAAGCUGGGGAUCGCAAGACCUAGCGCGUGCAGAGGGGCCCGCGGCUGAUUAGGUAGUUGGGGAGGUAACGGCUCACCAACGCGACGAUCAGUAUCCGGCCUGAGGGGGCGGACGGACCCCCUGGGACUGAGACACGGGCCAGACUCCUACGGGAGGGAGCAGUGGGGAAUUGUUCGCAAUAGGCGCAAGGCUGACGACGCAACGCCGCGUGGAGGACGAAGAUCUUCGGGUCGUAAACUCCUGUCGAGCGGGACGAACGCUUCGCGGAUGAAUAAUCCGCGGAAUUGACGGUACCGCUAAAGGAAGCCCCGGCUAACUCCGUG